rfam:Parcubacteria group bacterium RIFCSPHIGHO2_01_FTLL_45_26 rifcsphigho2_01_scaffold_5769, whole genome shotgun sequence.
CGGGCCGUAGUAUACCGGUAGUAUACCUGCUUUGGGAGCAGGCGGACCGAGUUCGAUUCUCGGCGGCCCGA